AACACCUUCUAAGGUUCUACAUUAUUUUCCUUUGAUACCAAGGCUACAAAGGUUAUUCAUGUCAUCCAAAACAGCAUCAUCUAUGAAGUGGCAUAAAGAAGGUCGCACCAAUGAUGGUUGUAUGAGACAUCCUGCCGAUUCUCCAGCUUCGAUGACUUUUGACCACCUACAUCCUGAUUUCGCAGCAGAUUGUAGAAAUGUCAGACUUGGGUUGGCGUGUGAUGGUGUGAACCCUUUCAAAACAUUGAGCAGCACGUAUAGCACCUGGCCUGUAAUUCUUAUACCGUAUAAUUUGCCUCCAUGGAUGUGUAUGAAGCAGACCAAUUUUCUAUUAUCAUUGAUUAUCCCUGGUCAUAGUGCACCUGGAAAUAAUAUUGAUGUGUAUUUGGAACCUUUAAUAGAUGAAUUAAAGGAAUUAUGGGUGGAUGGAGUAGAGACAUAUGAUGCAUCAAUUAAACAAAAUUUCCAAUUGCGUGCAGCAUUAAUGUGGACUAUCAGCGACUUCCCUGCUUAUGCUUAUUUGUCAGGGUGGAGUACUAAAGGGAAGUAUGCAUGCCCUUCAUGCCACAAAGACACAUGCUUCCAGUGGUUGAAGCAUGGCCGAAAACAUUGUUACAUGGGUCAUCGUCGAUUCUUGGACAAACAUCAUGCAUUUCGAGAUGAUGAGCGAUCUUUUGAUGGUACUAAAGAAAAAAGAACUGGACCCAAUCCUUUAACUGGUUCUAUGGUAUUGGAUAUGUUACAUGGCUUCAAUAUCACUUAUGGAAAGAUGAGUACUAAUCCAGAAUUACCAUAUAAUUGGAAGAAAAGAAGCAUAUUCUUUGAAUUACCAUAUUGGAAGGAUAAUCUAGUGCGUCACAAUCUUGAUGUGAUGCACAUUGAGAAAAAUGUAUGUGAGAGCUUGCUUGGAACACUACUGAAUUUAGAGGGGAAGACAAAGGAUAAUCUAAAUGCACGUCUUGACUUGAAACUUCAAGGUAUAAGGCCUGAACUCCAUCCAAAAGAAAAUGCAACAAAUAAAACUAUCUUGCCUCCUUCUUGUUUCUCAUUAAAGAAACAAGAAAAAGAUGUUUUUUGUAAAUUUUUGAAGACUGUUAAAGUUCCUAAUGGUUAUGCAGCAAAUAUUUCACGAUGCAUCGACUUAAAGCAAUGUAGAAUCUUUGGACUUAAAAGUCAUGAUUGCCAUAUUUUGAUGCAACAAUUACUCCCUUUAGCAAUUCGAGGAAUGUUGAGUUCACAUGUAACUUCACCUUUGAUUGAGUUGAGUAAUUUCUUUCGAGAGUUAUGUUCUAAAGUUGGGGUACUCGUGAUGAUGAGCGCCUAACAGUCAAUUGGAACAAACUUGGCCAACCUGACGACAAAUUGGCAACAAAGUUAUCAUCGUUCAUUGGAACUAUUGUGCGUGAUGGGAAAAAUGCACCACUCACUUACAAGAAUUGGCAUAAAGUCCCAGCACAUUACAAAGAUCACAUAUGGGCACUUGUACAGUCAAAGUUUGAUCUUCCAAGUCAUGCUAGGAAGUGGGUUAUGAAGUGCUCUGGAUGAAAUGAAUGAGAGGACAACCUUAAAUGCAAAUUUAUCAAAUAAGGGCCCAAAUGAUGCAUUUGGACAAGUGAUGGGUAAAGAAAAACAUGGACGAGUUCGCAUGUAUAGAUUAGGUGUCUCCCCAUCUAAUUUA